AUUGAACGCUGGCGGCAGGCUUAACACAUGCAAGUCGAGCGGGGUGAUGGUGCUUGCACUAUCACUUAGCGGCGGACGGGUGAGUAAUGCUUAGGAAUCUGCCUAUUAGUGGGGGACAACAUCUCGAAAGGGAUGCUAAUACCGCAUACGUCCUACGGGAGAAAGCAGGGGAUCACUUGUGACCUUGCGCUAAUAGAUGAGCCUAAGUCGGAUUAGCUAGUUGGUGGGGUAAAGGCCUACCAAGGCGACGAUCUGUAGCGGGUCUGAGAGGAUGAUCCGCCACCCUGGUAAUGAGGCACGGCCCAGACUCCUACGGGAGGUAGCACUGGGGAAUAUUGGACAAUGGGCGGAACCCUGAUACAGCCAUGCCGCUUGUGUGAAGAAGGCCUUAUGGUUGUAAAGCACUUUAAGCGAGGAGGAGGCUCUUUUGGUUACUACCCAAGAUGAGUGGACGUUACUCGCAGAAUAAGCACCGGCUAACUCUGUGCCAGCCGCCGCAGUAA
rnacentral:rRNA from 1 species